UAAAAAAAUACGGGGUAUUUACUUCACGAGUUCAUUAAAGAAAAUGUUCCAAAGACAAAUACUACUUCUGCAAGAUUAGACAUGGAAGAAUCCUUUAAACCAUGAGAAGAGAGAUCUCCAGAAAGGAUAAUUUAUAGACUUCAAGAACAACCUAAUGUGAACCAGCUACUGAUCUCUCACUUUGUGCCAAGAACUAUUCCAGAUUGAGGGAGAGUGAAGAGCAAGAAACAGUACCCAGAAUGAAAUGAUUAUUCGCUGGUUGGGGUGGAAUCAAAACCAAAACCACCUUGUUCAAUAACUUCCCAACAUGGAGUCACUGAAUAGAGAAAUCCACAAUAAUAAAGUUAAAAGUUAUCUGUGUUUUUUCAAAACAAUCAAACGUAACAAUUAAAAUGGUAUGUGUUUUCCUGGGUAGACAAUUGGACUUUGGGUAUGU